AACGAACGCUGGCGGCAUGCCUAACACAUGCAAGUCGAACGAUGGUCUUCGGAUCAUAGUGGCUCACGGGUGCGUAACGCGGGGGAAUCUGCCCGUGGGUUCGGAAUAACAGUGGGAAACGACUGCUAAUACCGGAUGAUGUCGAUAAGACCAAAGAUUUAUCGCCCGAGGAUGAGCCCGCGUCGGAUUAGCUAGUUGGUGGGGUAAAGGCCUACCAAGGCGACGAUCCGUAGCUGGUCUGAGAGGAUGAUCAGCCACACUGGGACUGAGACACGGCCCAGACUCCUACGGGAGGCAGCAGUGGGGAAUAUUGGACAAUGGGCGCAAGCCUGAUCCAGCAAUGCCGCGUGAGUGAUGAAGGCCUUAGGGUUGUAAAGCUCUUUUACCCGGGAAGAUAAUGACUGUACCGGGAGAAUAAGCCCCGGCUAACUCCGUG
rnacentral:rRNA from 1 species